CAGGAGAUGGCGGCGGGCGGAGCGGGCCGCAACGAGCUGGGCGGGCCGUCCCCUCCGUCACCCUGAGCCCGAACCACAGCCACACAGUCACUGAGGGAACUGGGCUGGAAGGAACCGUAAGGCCUAUCCAGCCGCACCCCUGCCACAGUCCUUCCUGUGCUGUCCAAAGAAGAGAUGCAAAUUAAAGUCCUAUGAAAAAAUACACCAAGGAGAAGAUCCACUUGGCUCUGCCUUGACACACAUGGAUUCAUUAGUCACUGAAGUCAGAGCUGGGUGGUUUUAGGCUCAAUAUACCUAUCAACAUACCAUUUAGGAACCUAAAAACACCAGGAUAUCAGGCAUGCUGCCAUGCCCAGAGGUGCCUUGGCUCUUGUCCCAGCAAGGAUUGAAACUCACAGUGCUGCCCUAAAAUGCUUCCAGUCUAGCAAGGGAAGCAUGGGAUCAUGAGAAAUCAGCCAUCCUGGCUCCAGAGGAACUGCAGCCCCUUCCCUCUGAUGGACGACUGAUGUUUCCUAACCUCAGGCCAAGCUGUCAUUGCCUCAAGAAGUGUUUCUGAUCUCUUGCCUAAAUCUCCCUCAUGACAGUUGCAGUCCGUUGCUUCAUGCCGUGUCUCCUGUGCACAUGGGGAAGAUUUGUUCUCCUUUUAUAGAAUCUGUAAGGUUGGAAAAGACUUCUAAGAUCACUGA